AGUGAACGCUGGCGGUAGGCCUAACACAUGCAAGUCGAACGGCAGCACAGUAAGGGCUUGCUCUUACGGGUGGCGAGUGGCGGACGGGUGAGGAAUACAUCGGAAUCUACUUUUUCGUGGGGGAUAACGUAGGGAAACUUACGCUAAUACCGCAUACGACCUACGGGUGAAAGCAGGGGAUCUUCGGACCUUGCGCGAUUGAAUGAGCCGAUGUCGGAUUAGCUAGUUGGCGGGGUAAAGGCCCACCAAGGCGACGAUCCGUAGCUGGUCUGAGAGGAUGAUCGGCCACACUGGAACUGAGACACGGUCCAGACUCCUACGGGAGGCAGCAGUGGGGAAUAUUGGACAAUGGGCGCAAGCCUGAUCCAGCCAUACCGCGUGGGUGAAGAAGGCCUUCGGGUUGUAAAGCCCUUUUGUUGGGAAAGAAAAGCAGCAGGUUAAUACCCCGCUGUUCUGACGGUACCCAAAGAAUAAGCACCGGCUAACUUCGU
rnacentral:rRNA from 1 species